rnacentral:lncRNA from 1 species
CGUGAACACCUCCAGGGUCGGUGAGUCCUCCACCUCCCUGGGCAGCCCAUUCCAGUGCCUGACCACCCUUUCAGGGAAGCGGUAUUUCCCAACAUCCAGCCUGAACCUCCCCUGGCGCAGCUUGAAGCCGUUCCCUCUAGUCCUGUAUCUGGUUACACGAGAGAAGAGGCCGACCCCCAGCUCACUACAACCUCCCUUCAGGUAGUUACAGAAGAGCAAGAAGGUCUCCCCUGAGCCUCCUCUUCUCCAGACUG